rnacentral:rRNA from 1 species
AACGAACGCUGGCGGCAUGCCUAACACAUGCCAGUCGAACGAGACCUUCGGGUCUAGUGGCGCACGGGUGCGUAACGCGUGGGAACCUGCCCUUAGGUUCGGAAUAACUCCCCGAAAGGGGUGCUAAUACCGGAUAAUGUCUUCGGACCAAAGAUUUAUCGCCUUUGGAUGGGCCCGCGUUGGAUUAGCUAGUUGGUAGGGUAAAAGCCUACCAAGGCGACGAUCCAUAGCUGGUCUGAGAGGUUGAUCAGCCACACUGGGACUGAGACACGGCCCAGACUCCUACGGGAGGCAGCAGUGGGGAAUAUUGGACAAUGGGCGAAAGCCUGAUCCAGCAAUGCCGCGUGAGUGAUGAAGGCCUUAGGGUUGUAAAGCUCUUUUACCCGGGAUGAUAAUGACAGUACCGGGAGAAUAAGCUCCGGCUAACUCCGUG